AUCAGAAUAGCGGAUACAUACCGGAGGCUCGCGGUGUCCAAUGAAUACCGCCUGAGCGGUUGCAAGCGGGUGACCACAGCCAUUGAUUUGGCUGCGGUCCCGCGCUAACACUAGGGAAGCCUCAGUACCGCCCGUGGUUAGAUUUCUUGCGGUGUGCGUUGCCGCUCGCGUAUAAACUCGCUAUGGAGAGCCUCAUAUCAACGCCUUACACUGGCAACAGUAUCAAUGAUAAACUAUCAGCUGCGGGAAUCCUCGAUACCAAAAUAGAGAACAAUCUUUCAGAAUUAAGAAGAUACGUGCGGGAGAAACUUCGGAGUGGCGUAUAUAAACUCACCACAGACAGGCGUGGAAGAUCUAAAGUAUGGGAACACUUUCGCAUGGUGUUAGACGAUCAGGGCAACUUGGUGGGGUACGCUGGCUGCAUGUAUUGUCUGGAUGUACUGAGACACGACCCCCACAUAUCUGGUACUUCGUCGCUGUUCAGUCACCUUCGGUCGUGUUCUGCGGCUGGCGCUCUGCCCGCUCACAGCAUAGUCGUUCCUGAAGUGCAUGUCAAAGAAGAGGUAUAUGAAGACUCGAGGAAUAACGAGGAAUGGGAUAUAUUCACGCGAACUGCUGACAUUUGUGCUGAAUAUGUUGCCAUUGAUAUGUUGCCAUACCAGUGCCUGAAUGGCCAUGGUUUCAGAAAGCUGGCUCAGUUCCUGGUGGACUGUGGAGCGCUUCAUGGUAAAUUUGAAGUGGAAUCUGUGCUUCCUCCAGCGGCUACGGUGGCGAAGCGUGUGUGUGCUCGGGCGGGGGAAGAGAGGAGGAAGCUUAGGGCAGCUCUUCGCUCUCAUCUGUUACAUGGAGCAGCAGCGGUUGCCCUUCACACAUUCAAAACCCAUGCCUAUUCGUCCAUCAUGGCAUUAACAGUGCAUUAUGUCAAAGACUGGAGUAUUGAGACAGACUUUCUCGGUGUGUGUGAUUUUCAAAAUGAUAUCCAGAGAAGACCGAGAGAAGUAUUACGCUUCGUAGGGAAAUUUGGAUUUGAAACUACACCAGAGAAGUUGACGCUGAUAAUGAGUGCCCAGGAAUCUGUACAUGACAUUUGCAAAGAUGCAACCAUGAUUAAAAGUUUUUCAUGUAUGAUAAAUCAAUCUGUCAAUCAGCUACUUACAAAUGAUAGGCAAUCUACAAAAGACAUUUUUACAAAUUUAGAAAAAUUCAGAGAGAUUAUCCGGCUUGUCAACAAGGAUAACGCAAAGUUGUCAGCACAGUUGGAAGUGGAUAUUACUAACGGUGAGUCUGACUGGAGGAAAACCUUGCAAUUGUCGGAGAGGAUAUGUGACAUGCGCUUCGAACUGCUGAAGGUGACACAGGACAAGAGCUACUAGAUGCUCUAAGCAGCGAGAGCGAGGCACAGAUGCGACACCUUAUUACCAUACUGAAGCCCUUCCAGUCUGCCAUUGAAGACAUGGAGUGCUGCCAGACGCCCACGCUGCACAAGGUGGUUCCCUGGUUCCUACAUCUGCGUAACACAUGCGCACCUGACAGUGGCGACACUGAAGUAUUAGCGGCACUGAAGAAGUCUAUAAAACACUGCCUUGACCAGAAUGAAGAGGUCAAUUUAUUACACAAAAUUGCAGUGUUUUUUAACCCCCGCAUGAACAGCUUAAAGAUACUAUGCCCAGAGGAAAGAGAGUUAGUGCGAAAAGAGGUGAAGCGUUUAGCUCAAAGCCACAUUGACAUCAGCGAACCACCCAAGAAAAGACCUAAACAGGAAAGCAGUCCUCUGGCAUACUUGGAAGAUAAGGACAACGAACAAGACGAUGACAGCACUGCCGAGCGAGAGAUCCUCCUAUACACUAUCAUGAAGGACUAUACCGACUCUGAGGACCUACUGCUGUGGUGGCAUAAGAACUCGAGCAUGCUGCCCCUGCUGGCCGCCGUGGCUCAGAGAGUUCUGGCCGUCCCUGCCUCAGCUACACCCACCUCCCACCUCACCAAGAUCGCUGCCAGGAUGAAAGAUCUGGGGUCGUCGUGGGGCAACGAACACAACAUGGAUGACUUAGUGUUUCUACAUUCACGCCUUUCACAGUCAACAAAUAACUCAGAUGGGUGAAGAUGGCUGCCUGGAGCGUCGUUUGGGGACCCAGCAGUCAGUAGUUCAGGGCGACUACGAUACCUGUGGUGCGAUGGCCCAUGUCUUAAUCACACUACUGCAUCAUUGUCUCACAUACCUUCCCUACUGCUGGGAAAAUACUUAAAAGUGCCAUUAUAUUUGUGAUAAUAGUCGUUUGCUUGUGCAUAAGCAGGUUAGCAAUUCGUUCCCAUGUAUUUGCAAGAUCGUAUGUAACACAGGAAUAUAUACACCGAAAGGUGUAUCUCGUUUCUCCUGUGUAUAUACUAAGUUUAUUUUAAUCGUGGAUUAUGUUCAAGACAGAAUAUUUGCUGAUUGAUUGAUAGAGAUUAAGCCACCCAAGAAGUGGCACGGGCAUGAAUAGCCCGUAAGAAUAUUUGCUGCUUGUUAUUUCCUAUCUCCAAACUCAGCCACGCACGACGGAUGUGCUUAUCAGUAUAUAUACACUUCAGUUACCUACUAUCGUUACCUAUUUUUAGUGAUUAAAGUAUAUGGUAGAUAACAAGGAAGACUGCAACCUUAUUGAUCUUAGCAAUAGCUAGGCUCUCUUGGCCACCAUCUUAGUUUUAGUUCACAUUUACAAGUUUACCUUCGGCUUUCCUUGUCUUACUUAGCACGGCCAAUAAAAAAUUUCUUUAACCGUUAAACAAAUCUCUCAUCAUAUGCCUUCCAUUGUAAAAGCAUAAUCCGUCACUAGAAUUUGCAGUUUAAAAAUUUUUCCGAAUGAGUAAACAAUAUUUAUUGAAUUACUAGACUCCGGGAGAUGCCUAUUGUAAAAAAUAUAUAUUGGAAUUGUUUCACAAAGUCGUUGUGAUUCACAGUUUAUACAGCAUUUGAGAUAUUCAUAGCUUUCAUUUAAUAUUCGUUAUGAGAUAAAAAUAUAUAUAUAUAUAUAU